rnacentral:rRNA from 1 species
AAUAGAUACCCACGGUAGUCCUAGCCGUAAACGAUGAGCACUUGAUUGAGGGCCCCCCCCAUAGGCUCUCGAUCGCAGCGAAAGUGUUAAGUGCUCCGCCUGGGGAGUAUGGUCGCAAGGCUGAAACUCAAAGGGAAUUGACGGGGGGCUCACACAAGCGGUGGAGGAUGUGGCUUAAUUCGAGGCUACGCGAAGAACCUUAUCCAGGCCUUGACAUGUACGGAUGCUGCCCGUGAAAGCGGGUUAGUUGCCUUCGGGUGAAACGUGCACAGGUGCUGCAUGGCUGUCGUCAGCUCGUGUCGUGAGAUGUCGGGUUAAGUCCCUUAACGAGCGAAACCCUUGUCCUUAGUUGCCAGCGAGUCAUGUCGGGGACUCGUAAGGAGACUGCCGGCGUUAAGCCGGAGGAAGGUGGGGAUGACGUCAAGUCCUCAUGGCCUUUAUGGUCUGGGCUGCACACGUCCUACAAUGGCGUAUACAAAGGGAUGCUACCUCGCGAGAGCAAGCAAAGUCCCAAAAAGUACGCCCCGAGUUCGG